GGUUGUGGCUAAGUGGGUAGUGGGCUUGCCUAGCACACAGGAGGCACUGGGUUCGAUCCUCAGCACCA
rnacentral:tRNA from 1 species